rnacentral:lncRNA from 1 species
GGAUUGGGAGUACAUCGACUCCUAGAAUUGUGAGUGAACUUAUUAUCGUCUUAAUUAUCUAGAGCAGUUUUAUACAAUUGUGUGAUUUUAUAGAAAAUGGGUUUAAAUGGUAAAUUGCUAUAUUUUAGGAGAAAUUGUGAUUUUAUAAAAUGAUUUUAUAAAUUUUUUGGAAAAUUGAAUACUGGUUUUGAAAAUAGAGUAAUUGGAGACUGCCUGCUUAUGUUGUAAAUUUAUGGUUUUAAAUUGAAUGGCUUAUGACAAUAAAUGAGCAUGAAUGGCUAAACUAAUUUUGGUAUUAGAAU